rnacentral:rRNA from 1 species
ACUAAAUAGAUACCCCGGUAGUCCACGCUGUAAACGAUAGAUUACUCGAUGUUGGCGUAUACACAGUCAGCGUCUGAGCGAAAGCAAUAAGUAAUCCACCUGGGGAGUACGAUCGCAAGAUUGAAACUCAAAGGAAUUGACGGGGGCCCGCACAAGCGGAGGAGCAUGUGGUUUAAUUCGAUGAUACGCGAGGAACCUUACCUGGGCUCGAACGUAAGAUGACUGUAGGUGAAAGCUUACAUCUCUUCGGAGCAUUUUACGAGGUGCUGCAUGGUUGUCGUCAGCUCGUGCCGUGAGGUGUCGGGUUAAGUCCCAUAACGAGCGCAACCCCUACCUUUAGUUGCCAACAGGUCAAGCUGGGGACUCUAAAGGAACUGCCUACGCAAGUAGUGAGGAAGGCGGGGAUGACGUCAAAUCAGCACGGCCCUUACGUCCAGGGCUACACACGUGCUACAAUGGCCGAUACAGAGGGCAGCUACCUGGUGACAGGAUGCAAAUCUCCAAAAGUCGGUCUCAGUUCGGAUCGGA